UACGAAGGGGGCUAGCGUUGUUCGGAAUUACUGGGCGUAAAGCGCACGUAGGCGGCUCUUUAAGUCGGGGGUGAAAUCCUGGAGCUCAACUCCAGAACUGCCCUUCGAUACUGUAGAGCUUGAGUUCGGGAGAGGUGAGUGGAACUGCGAGUGUAGAGGUGAAAUUCGUAGAUAUUCGCAAGAACACCCGUUGCGAAGGCGGCUGACUGGACACAUAUUGACGCUGAGGCUCGAAAGCAUGGGGAGCAAACAGG
rnacentral:rRNA from 1 species